rnacentral:rRNA from 1 species
AAAUUAGUGAUAUCAAGCAAAUCUCAAAAAAUCGUUCUCAGUUCGGAUUGUAGUCUGCAACUCGACUACAUGAAGUCGGAAUCGCUAGUAAUCGUAGAUCAGCUACGCUACGGUGAAUACGUUCUCGGGUCUUGUACACACCGCCCGUCACACCAUGGGAGCUGGUAAUGCCCGAAGUCGKUUUG